GCCUACCAAUUCCUGACAAACUCCGAAUGCUAUAAAAUGUUACUCAGCAGUGAGGGCAUGGGUGCUAAGGUCCAUGUCCGAGAGGGAAAGAACCCAGACCAUCAGCUAAGGUCCCCAAAUAUAUGUUAAGUUGAAUAAACGAGGUGAAAUUGCACAGACAGCUAGGAUGUUGGCUUGGAAGCAGCCAUUCAUUUAAAGAGUGCGUAACAGCUCACUAGUCGAGCGAUUUUGCAUGGAUAAUAAUCGGGCAUAAACAUAUUACCGAAGCUAUGGAUUUGUAUUAUAUACAAGUGGUAGGGGAGCAUUGUAACCUGCGUAGAAGGUGUGCUGUAAGGCAUGCUGGAGUGGUUACAAAAGAAAAUGUAGGCAUAAGUAACGAUAAAGGGGGCGAGAAACCCCCUCACCGAAAGACUAAGG
rnacentral:rRNA from 1 species